rnacentral:rRNA from 1 species
UGAGGAAUAUUGGUCAAUGGGCGAGAGCCUGAACCAGCCAAAUCGCGUGAAGGAAGACUGCCUUAUGGGUUGUAAACUUCUUUUAUACAGGAAUAAAAAAGGGGACGUGUCCCUUAUUGCAUGUACUGUAUGAAUAAGCAUCGGCUAACUCCGUGCCAGCAGCCGCGGUAAUACGGAGGAUGCGAGCGUUAUCCGGAUUUAUUGGGUUUAAAGGGUGCGCAGGCGGGCUUUUAAGUCAGCGGUGAAAUCUCGGGGCUUAACUCCGAAACUGCCGUUGAAACUGGGAGUCUUGAGUAUGGAUGAAGUAGGCGGAAUUCGUUGUGUAGCGGUGACAUGCUUAGAUAUAACGAGGAACUCCGAUUGCGUAGGCAGCUUACUAAGCCAUAACUGACGCUCAAGCACGAAAGCGUGGGGAUCAAACAGGAUUAGAUACCCUGGUCAGUCACGCCCGCUAAACGAAUGAUUACUAGUUGUAUGCGAUAUACCGUAUGUGACUAAGCGAAAAG